UACAGAGGGUGCAAGCGUUAAUCGGAAUUACUGGGCGUAAAGCGUGCGUAGACGGUUAUUUAAGUCAGGUGUGAAAUCCCCGGGCUCAACCUGGGAAUUGCAUUUGUGACUGCACGGCUAGAGUGUGUCAGAGGGGGGUAGGAAUUCCACGUGUAGCAGUGAAAUGCGUAGAGAUGUGGAGGAAUACCGAUGGCGAAGGCAGCCCCCUGGGAUAACACUGACGCUCAUGCACGAAAGCGUGGGGAGCAAACAGG
rnacentral:rRNA from 1 species